UCCUAAUUAUUGGAUUUUUUUUAUCAAACACCACUUGCAAUACAGGAUGGAUGUAGUGGAUUGUUGGACAGAGAGUAUAAAUUAUCUUUGUUCCAUGCUGUUCCGAGGUGUGGAACAGAGCAACCUGGGCCUCUGCUGCCGUCGCCCUUUCUCUUUCUCUCCUUCUCCUCCGUCUCCAUCUCCGCCCUGAGCUGCCAUUGCCCUUUCUCUUUCUCUCCUUCUCCUCUGACUCCGCUCCGAGCUGCCCUCGUCCUCAUCGACAGAUUGCUGUAUUUUUAAGCUGUGGAAUCUGUUGCUGAUCAAUCUAGUUUGAACGCUGUCAUUAAAUAAUCUUUCUCUCCUUCUCCUUCGUCUCCUCUCAGGGUUAGGGUUUCCUGCAUCUUCUGUUAUUGUAUUCUGCAAGGAAAAGAAGAAGGAGGAUGAGUUCUACAGGAACCAAGGGCGGGCCUGGGACACCCAAGUCAUCAAAGUCGGUAUCUCGAUCGCAGAAGACCGCUCUGCAGUUUUCAGUGGGUAGGAUCGCCCGAUUUCUCAAAGUCGGAAAGUAUGCAGAGCGAGUCGGUACGGGUGCGCCUCAGUACCUCUCUGCCGUGCUCGAGUAUCUCGCAGUCGAGGGUUAGCAGUGCUGUACGAUUUCUUUGCCUCGCAUUGUAUUUCUCUUCUUUGUAAAGAAAAUGUUUAUUUUGAAAAGAGAGGUGCUGCAGUUCACGGGCUCUGUGUCAAGUUGCGCCUUGAGGAACAAGCGAGUAGAGUGGGGGUGAUGUCAUUCCCCCAUUGGCCAGGAAAAAAUGCCAGGAAAAAAUGACAGAAACAACGACCAUUUUUGUUACUGCUGAAAAAACAAUAGCUCAUUCUCUUGCCCCUGCUAUUUGUAGAAAAUGUAAUUCUUGGUUUUCGAUGGUGUGCCAGAUCUCAUUGCAACAUGCCUCAGCCCAUUAGUUUAAUUCACUCCAAAGACUGUUUACAGAUGUCAAAGUAUCAAUUGCUUUUUCCUUUUUUCUUUUUCUUUCUUUCACUUGUAUUAUAGUUAGAAACAAAGCAUAUGCAGCGAGCAACAUGAAUUUGUAAAUAUUGUUUAAAGCCUGUAAAGAUUGAAGGCAGAGUUGCUGCCGUUCUUGACAGAAGCUGGCCAUAUAAUUGUUCCAUCGAAAUUGAAAUGGAUGGACAGUAGAGGUGCGAGCACCCAUGGCUGCUUGGCCUGGUAGUCUAGUGCCGAACUUUUAGCUCUUUGUAGUGUGAAUGUUGAUGAAAUUUCAUAGGCUGGAUAAAUAA